GGUGGCUCAGUGGCAGAGCACAUGCCUUCCAUGCAUGAGGCCCUGGGUUCAAUCCCCAGCACCA
rfam:Erinaceus europaeus unplaced genomic scaffold scaffold00104, whole genome shotgun sequence